rnacentral:lncRNA from 1 species
UCCGAGGACCUCCCGUUGGUUUCGCCGUGGUCGUCCGGGCUCUCCUAGGAAUCUCUGUUAAGGUUAGUAUAGAAAUAUGAGGAGUAUGCACAUGUGUAUAUAAAAAAAAAUCACCUCAUGUUAGUUGUUAAGAUUUUUACUAUAUAUACUGUAUAUAAGAUGUAGCUUCAGUGCACAAUGUGAAGUUACAAUACAAGUCCACACUCACAUGCAGCGUGUGGUAUUUGCAGUAUUUCAUGGUAUUUUUCGUCCUCUUAGGGUGAGAUUGGAGAAUCUGGUCCUAAAGUAAGUCAUCUACUGCUCAAUGAACAAUUUACCAUUUAAAAUUUUAUAUAAAAUAUACAUGCAAAAUUCAUCAUAAAUGUGUGAUUAUGAUGCUUCUCACAUUCUUCAGGGUCCGCGUGGAAAACCGGGUCUGAAAGGAGAAAAGGGGGAGCAUGGAAGUAAUGUUAGUGCAUGCUUUAAGACUUACUCUUUUAAAGCUACUCUAUGCAUUGUUUAUUAUUUUUUGAUUUUAUACUAAAAAUGCAAAUACUUUUCUAUCCCAGAUUAAUAUGUAGAAACAGCUAGAAGCAAACUUCAAAAAAUAUUUUUCAAAGUUGUAGAUAAAUAAAACAAAGAUUUUUUUGUGUAGGAAAUACUUUAAAAAUGUCCUGUUUUAUAUGCAAUUAUCUUUAAAAAAAUUUGGUAGCAAUUUUUGUUUUAUUGAAUGUAAGCCAUUAAGUAGGUUGUGUUUUAAUUAUUAUAAAAUGAAAAAGUGGAUGUGUUUUCCUAGGGUCUACCAGGUUUACCAGGACCAGUGGGAGUGGAUGGACUUUCAGGACUUCCUGGGCAGAAGGGGGAGAAGGGAGAGGAAGGUAUCGGAGUUCAGGGUGUUCAAGGUCCACUUGGGCCAAAAGGAGAAAAGGUAUUUGUUUCUGAUGAGUUAUAUUAGUAUUUCAUUAAAGUAUGCAUGUUCCACAGUGAAAAACCUUAAGGGUAAUUAUUAAUUCAGUGCUAAUCAAUUUUUUCAGGGUAAUACAGGACUACAAGGCCCAAAGGUAAGCAUGUUGCAUUUAAAAUCAAUGGAGCAGAGUAAAAGACAACUGUCUUGUGCAAUGUGUAAUUUGUAGUUUCCAUAUUCAUCCAAAGGGAGAAGCAGGAAUCCAAGGAGUCCAGGGAAUCACAGGCCCUCGGGUUUGUCAAAAUAUACACAACUAUUUCAGCAUCAAAGUGUUUAGUCUGUCAGUUCGUGCUGUUAAAUUAUGUCUGUCUUUCACAAAGAAUCAUCAUGAACCAUUUAACAGAUGUCAACUUUAGAUGCAAUUUUGUUUAAUAAAUGUUAAGUGCUUCUUUAUGACAGGGGUGUUUCACUGUUGUUGUGUUUUUGUCUGUGUUUAGGGGAAAAAGGGUCUUAAAGGGGAUCAAGGAGACAAGGUAUGAUUUUACACAAUUUAGUCAGGUACAUGACUUUCUUACUGCUCUGUUUUUACCAAUUUGCUCUUUCUCUAAAUAAAAAUAAAUAAAUAAAAAUCAAUCACAUCAAGUCAGUGCUUUUGUCUAGUGCUGCGGCUGCUCUGUAUUUAAUAACCUGAUCCAUAAUACAUCCUACUUGACUUUGUUCAAAAAUGUUCAAUCAGUUCAGUUCACUAGUAUCAUAGUCAGAACCUCAUUGAAAUCUGGAAUAUUUCUUAAACAUCAAAUGCACUAAACAUCAACAUCAGCUGCUUGUUGUCUGGAGUAUUUGAAU